UUAAAUCUCGAGUGCCCUAUAAUCCCACAAUGCAUGCACAACGUGCAGACCGGCUCGUACCUAAAAGUGACCCAAAUUGUCACUCCAUUAUCCAUUUGCAAUGCACAGCCAGGUAAUAACGAACACCAUGGACAUACCUCCACACGCACUCGCAUAAAGCAGAUAUUUCUGGGAGUCAACAUCUUGCCAAUCGAUCUCCAGGAUCCCCCUACAACCCGUACCAUUCUAGCAGCCACAAAAAGGACAUUGGUAUUCUAAGCGUAGUCCCCAAAGUUGUAUCCAAAUAGUGACUCAAACAAACAUAUUAUUACUCAACUUUUUAUUAGGCCUCCAUGAAUGGACCAUGAAAAAUUCACCCUCCAAAGACCAAAGACCUUCAUCCAGUACAUAAUUCCUAUCAUUUAGAUCCUUAAACUGCAAGGUAGAGAAAUUACCAGUUCUUCCAACAAUAUGUACCCUAUCUCUAAGCCUCCAGACGCAAUUUCAAUAAGAUGUAAGUGUUGACGCAAAAAUUUUGGUUUUAAAUUCGUCUAAGUCGACCUAGACUUCGUAAAGUGAAAUUUCACAAUAGAUAUUAUCCAAAGUACUGAAAAUAAAUAAAAGCAACGCAAAGAUAAAAUAAGAAAAAAAGAACAAACAAACCGUAAUAAAGCCAAAGCACGCAAACUGUUUGAAUAAAUGCUCUCAAAAUGUUCUAUUACCCAAG
rnacentral:lncRNA from 1 species